AUUUAACAUAUACUAAAGGUGAAUCCACUGUUAUACUGUUCAUACUAUUGACAACUGUUCAUAAGCGUGUGAAAAGACAGUUUUGCCCUUUGUGUUCCAUCAAUUACCGGCUGCCACUGCGGGUUAAAAGGUCGGGCGUUGUUUUGACGCGAUAGAAGGGAGUGAAUUUCAUAGAGGUUUGCCGUUGUUUUGACGCGAUAGAAGGGAGUGGAUUUAGCUCUUUCCAAUCUUCGAUCUGUCAAUAAAAGGUGAUCUGCGACAACUAAACCAAUCGUGCUUAGGUCUUGAAGAUAAUCAUGCUAGACCAACCAGAAUUGAUAGAAGGGAGAAAAGCGAAACCAUUCCAAUCUUGGAUCUGUGGGUGACAGAUUCGAGGAAUAGUUUGGUGUUACAUUGUUUAUCUACUUCAAAUUUAGUCAUGGCACCAAGGAUUCCGUGGACAAGGGAAAAAAGGGUUAUAGAACAGCAUGAUCAUCAAGAUUGUACUGAUGAAGUUCAUGAGACUUUUUCAAACAAACAAACAAAUCGGCAAAUGCAAUCACGAAAACAAAAACAGGUGGUGCAGAUAUUUAGCAACUGGAGGGUUUGAUUAGAUACGCGGCAAGGAAUAUUGAUUUCUGUGGCAAAGGGAUUGAUUUCCGUCUCAAAUCAAUAUUCCGUCUCUAACCUGCAUUUGAUCAAUCGGCACGAGGUUAUUGAGCUUCCUCGAAGAUAGACAAAGCUCGAGCUUUCUGGAGAUGACGAUCUUCUUCAUUUUAAGAGAAUUAAGAUUGGGUAUCUGCCCCUGAGGAUUCUUAGCAACAUCGGCUCCUCAAAUUUGUUAGAUCAUGCCGAAGAGAUUUGUAUAAUCUCAAGUCCAGAAAGUAGUUGAUUCUUUCCAUCUUCGGGGAGCCGCUAUCACCAUCUCAAUUCACUGUUAGUCAAAGUCAACCUCAACGAUCAAAAUCAAGAACAGUAAAAGCUUGGUUGUCUGUGCUUAAAGGAAGCAGCUUCUUUGCUGUUUGAGUGAAUUAGAAUUUGGGAAUCUUUCCUGAUACAUAGCGAUAUGCUCCGAGACAAGAAGACCACCUUCAAGCUCCACAGCAAGCAAGGUCUCACCCACAAAAAAGAGACAUUCGGACACAGAUAGCAGGCCACUCCUCAAAUCGCCAUCACCAUUACCAUCAAACAAAUUUCCAAAAAGGUAACUUCUCCCUUUUCCUAUUCUUCUGCACAAAACAAUAUCGUAUAAAUUUCAUGACCUACUUUUACCAUCUUAGAUUGCAUUACCCUUUCUAUUUCUGCACAUAAAAAUAAAAACUAGCCUCUAGCCUCACCCCACCUCCAUAUUUACAUCAUUGUUUCUGACUUCCAAUGCCAACAACUCAGUUGAGACUUCCAAGCAACUGUCAGCUUUUGCAAACGAUGAAUCUAACAUUUUAUAAUCAGCUGAUAGUUCGUCUUAACAGCAAUCAUAUUGCCAAGUCUGACCAUUUUUGUAAGAUAUAUCUAUUUUUGGCGCA